GAUUUCUGGUUCGGUGUAGCCGGCCCGCCACGGUUGCCGUCGGUGAGUGCCGGACUGCUUGCCGAGCCAUCCUUCUAGCACUGCCUAUCGCCGGUUGCUUCACUGCAGCCGCGUUAGUUGCAGCUAGAUCGUUUACUUUGAAAAAAUUAGAGUGUUUAAAGCAGGCUCCUGUCAGCUAUGAAUACAUUAGCAUGGAAUAAUAAGUUAGGACUUUGGUUCAAUUUUGUUGGUUUGUUUGCGGACCGAAGUAAUGAUUGAUAGGGAUAGUUGGGGGUGCUAGUAUUCAGUGGCCAGAGGUGAAAUUCUUGGAUUCCCUGAAGACUAACUUAUGCGAAAGCAUU
rnacentral:rRNA from 1 species